UACGUAGGCAGCGAGCGUUGUUCGGAAUUACUGGGCGUAAAGAGUGUGUAGGCGGUGCUCCCAGUCUGUUGUGAAAUCUCCCGGCUUAACUGGGAGGGUGCAGCGGAAACUAGAGUGCUAGAGGGUGGGAGAGGUAAGCGGAAUUCCUGGUGUAGCGGUGAAAUGCGUAGAUAUCAGGAGGAACACCGGUGGUGUAGACGGCUUUCUGGACCGUAACUGACGCUGAGACACGAAAGCGUGGGUAGCAAACAGG
rnacentral:rRNA from 1 species